rnacentral:rRNA from 1 species
UACGGAGGGGGCUAGCGUUGUUCGGAAUUACUGGGCGUAAAGCGCACGUAGGCGGCUUUGUAAGUUAGAGGUGAAAGCCCAGGGCUUAACCCUGGAAUUGCCUUUAAGACUGCAUCGCUAGAAUUGUGGAGAGGUAAGUGGAAUUCCGAGUGUAGAGGUGAAAUUCGUAGAUAUUCGGAAGAACACCAGUGGCGAAGGCGGCUCACUGGCCCGAUACUGACGCUGAGGCACGAAAGCGUGGGGAGCAAACAGG